rnacentral:misc_RNA from 1 species
UACGGAGGCUUCAAACGUUAUCCGGAAUCAUUGGGCGUAAAGGGUCCGCAGGCGGUCUGGUAAGUUGAUAGUAAAAUUUUUGGGCUUAACCCAGAAACUGCUAUCAAAACUACCAAACUAGAGGUUGGAAUAGGUGAGUGGAAUUCCCGGUGUAGUCGUAAUAAGCGCUGAUAUCGGGAGGAACGCCAAAUGUGAAGACAACUCACUGGAACAAACCUGACGCUCAGGGACGAAAGUGUGGGUAGCGAAGCGG